CAUGUAGGCGGCUUAAUAAGUCGAGCGUGAAAAUGCGGGGCUCAACCCCGUAUGGCGCUGGAGACUGUUAGGCUUGAGUGCAGGAGAGGAAAGGGGAAUUCCCAGUGUAGCGGUGAAAUGCGUAGAUAUUGGGAGGAACACCAGUGGCGAAGGCGCCUUUCUGGACUGUGUCUGACGCUGAGAUGCGAAAGCCAGGGUAGCGAACG
rnacentral:rRNA from 1 species